rnacentral:lncRNA from 1 species
CAAGACUCCCUGAGGAAAAUAGGAAGAGGAAGCCAGGUUAUGAAAUAGAGAAAAUGUCUAAGAAUCCACAUAGGCUAAAGCCAGAGACACUGAAGAGCUUCCUGAUGCAAUGCAACAGAAAGGAAAGUGAUGCUCAGAGGGAGCGAUUUGAGGAAGAGAACAGGAAGGUGAAGAAAUUCCUGGAGGCAGCUGCUGAACAGCGUCAACAACUACAUCACAAGCGGCAGAGGUAUGCAGAGAACAUCCUGGAGAAAGAAACAGGGAGGAGUUGGAUCCAGC